GAUCUGCAGUUCAGCUAGUAGAAAAAAGUGGAUCCCACUGUAAUUGAGUGAGACUAAAGAAAGGUAUUAUCUACAUAGUGAUGAUUUAAAAAACAAGUUUCUGAAGUCUUUUGGAGUCUGUGAAACCUGGUCUGGAAAUGUUAUGUCAUCUUUUUUGGGAAACCCUACACUAAUCUCAUCAGGAUAGCAAAGGAUUCACAGGGACAGCGAGUCUCACCUGUGUUACCAGGAAAAUGUUGCAGAAGAGCAUCUGCAAGCCUCUGAUGGGACUCUUGUUGAAACUGAGGACGGCCAAAAAGGAACUUGGCCAUUUUUCUUGGAAAAAGAAUUGCCCUUUUCAACAUGAUGUAACAUGCAUCUAAUUUAAAAUGUAUUGUAAAAUAAAAAAUUACUGCUGUAAUUAUCCAUUUGGCAACUUUGGACAAAUUAAUAUUUAAAAACCUCUCAGAAUUGACUUCUUAAAAAUGGUAACAUUUUCAUGCCAUUAGAUUGGAAUAAAGUUUGUUUUUAUUUC